rnacentral:rRNA from 1 species
GACGAACGCUGGCGGCGUGCUUAACACAUGCAAGUCGAACGGACAGGCCCUGCUUUUGUGGGGUGCUCGAGUGGCGAACGGGUGAGUAACACGUGAGUAACCUGCCCUUGACUUUGGGAUAACUUCAGGAAACUGGGGCUAAUACCGGAUAUGAGCUCCUGCUGCAUGGUGGGGGUUGGAAAGUUUCGGCGGUUGGGGAUGGACUCGCGGCUUAUCCGCUUGUUGGUGGGGUAGUGGCUUACCAAGGCUUUGACGGGUAGCCGGCCUGAGAGGGGGACCGGCGACAAGGGGACUGAGAGACGGACCAGAAGCCUACGGGAGGCAGCAGUGGGGAAUAUGGCACAAUGGGCGGAAGCCUGAGGCAGCAACGCCGCGUGCGGGAUGACGGCCUUCGGGUUGUAAACCGAUUUCGCCGGUGACGAAGAGUGAGUGACGGUAAUGGGUAAAGAAGCACCGGCUAACUACGUG